UAGUAGCAAUACCGGGAAAGUUUUAGUGGCGAACGGGUGCGUAACACGUGGGCAAUCUGCCAUGAAGUGGGGGAUAGCUCGGCGAAAGCCGAAUUAAUACCGCAUGUGAUCAGUGAAGACAUCUUCACGACAUUAAAGCCGGGGCAACCUGGCGCUUCUUGAUGAGCCCGCGGCCUAUCAGCUAGUUGGUGGGGUAACGGCCUACCAAGGCGGUGACGGGUAGCUGGUCUGAGAGGACGACCAGCCACACUGGAACUGAGACACGGUCCAGACACCUACGGGUGGCAGCAGUCGAGAAUUUUUCUCAAUGGGGGAAACCCUGAAGGAGCGACGCCGCGUGGAGGAUGAAGGCUUUCGGGUUGUAAACUCCUGUCAUUUGGGAACAAUGCUAGCUAGUUAACUGUUAGCUAGUUGAUAGUACCAGAAGAGGAAGAGACGGCUAACUCUGUGCCAGCAGCCGCGGUAAUACAGAGGUCUCAAGCGUUGUUCGGAUUCAUUGGGCGUAAAGGGUGCGUAGGUGGCGCGCUAAGUCAGGUGUGAAAUUUCGGAGCUUAACUCCGAAACUGCAUUUGAUACUGGCGUGCUUGAGGACUGGAGAGGAGACUGGAAUUCACGGUGUAGCA
rnacentral:rRNA from 1 species